AGAGUCUUCAAUUAACCUACUGUGCAUGUUUUUUCGGAUGUGGGAGGAAACCUGGUGUACCCGGAGAAAACCCACGCAGGCAUGGGGAGAACAUGCAAACUCCACACAGGAACUGGGGGACAUCCUGGAUAGACACCUGCAGGCUGAAGGUGUUCGCUCGAAAAGGCAACAUCUUUGGCUCCUCGAGAAGCUGACCCCCUCUACUCUUCUCUGCUGCCACCACUCCCUAGGUGACAAAAGCAUCACAUUUACAAGAAUCAACAUAGCAGAAUGAAGCUUGGAGUUGACACUGUUGAAAGGGCAUGAAAACAGACUGCAGACAAAUGUUGGUUGAAACAAGAAAAGAGACAGCGAGCAACCUGGAACAUAUAUUGUCUCAUCUGCCAUAUAUCUCGAUAUGAGAAUUAGUCAUUGCUCAUUUUCUCUGUUU